UUGUAGGAGCUGCGAAAUGGCUCAGGAGUUCUGGGUCGUGGAGUAGUCCCAGGCACUCUGCAACCUGUUCACCAGUACCUGGAGGCCACCGGGAGCGAGUACUCAGCCUCUCCCAAGCUCUAGCUACAGAGGCUUCCCAGUGGCACAGGCUGAUGGCAGCCUCUCCAGGGAGAAAUUCGGACACCAGGGGAGACUGUCUCCAGCCAAGCCCACAGCCUCCCAGUGAAGAACUGCCCCAGAUCACCUCGUCCCCAGCUCCUCACAAGGCUACUUCUGCUACCACAGGGUUCUCAUGCCAAGGCAGCCAGAGAGGCCUGGCCCCAUGGGAGGCCAGGUGGGACCCUGGGAAGGCCCCUCCAGCUCUGGCUCAGGAAGAGGGGGCAUGGCCCCUCAGAGUCACUCUGCUGCAGUCCAGCUUUUGACUCCCAUCUUUACACUGGACCCUGGAAGCACAACUGGAGGUGUGGGACCAUUCAGGACCACAGGUUGAGUCCAGCGUGUGUAUUCUAGGAGGGCUAGGGCCGCUAUGGUCAAAGAUUGAUUGUCCCAACACUGUCCAAACUUGGAUUAAAACUUUGAACUGGGCUGGUGAGAUGGCUCAGCGGGUAAGAGCACCCGACUGCUCUUCC